AUCGGUGUGACAACAGGGAUUGCCUCAGUAGCGGCGAGUGAAGCGGCAGCAGCUCACAUUUGAAAUCUGACCCCGACGGGGCCCGAGUUGUAAUCUGCAGAGGGUGUUUCGGGUGCGGUCCCGGUCUAGGUUCCUUGGAACAGGGCGUCAUAGAGGGUGAGAACCCCGUCUGCGACCGGCGACCGAGCCCGUGUGAAACCCCUUCGACAAGUCGAGUUGUUUGGGAAUGCAGCUCCAAAUGGGUGGUAAAUUUCAUCUAAGGCUAAAUAUUGGCCGGAGACCGAUAGCGCACAAGUAGAGUGAUCGAAAGAUGAAAAGCACUUUGGAAAGAGAGUCAAACAGUACGUGAAAUUGUUGAAAGGGAAGCGCUUGCGGCCAGACCCUGCGGGUGGCCGAUCAACCGGUCCUGCGACCGGUGCACUCGUCCACCAGCAGGCCAGCAUCGGUUUGGGCGGCGGGACAAAAGCGGCGGGAACGUAGCUCCCUCCGGGGAGACCUUAUAGCCCGGCGUGCCAUGCCGCCAGCCCAGACCGAGGACCGCGCUUUGGCUAGGAUGCUGGCGUAAUGGCCGCAAGCGACCCGUCUUGAAACACGGACCAAGGAGUCUAACAUCUAUGCGAGUGUUUGGGUGUCAAACCCGGGCGCGGAAUGAAAGUGAACGGAGGUGGGACCCCUUGACCGGGCGCACCAUCGACCGAUCCAGAUGUUUUCGGAUGGAUUUGAGUAGGAGCAUAGCUGUUGGGACCCGAAAGAUGGUGAACUAUGCCUGAACAGGGUGAAGCCAGAGGAAACUCUGGUGGAAGCUCGCAGCGGUUCUGACGUGCAAAUCGAUCGUCGAAAUUUGGGCAUAGGGGCGAAAGACUAAUCGAACCAUCUAGUAGCUGGUCCUGCGAGC
rnacentral:rRNA from 1 species